rnacentral:rRNA from 1 species
AUUGAACGCUGGCGGCAUGCCUCACACAUGCAAGUCGAACGGCAGCACGGGGCAACCUGGUGGCGAGUGGCGAACGGGUGAGUAAUGCAUCGGAACGUACCUUUCAGUGGGGGAUAACGUAGCGAAAGUUACGCUAAUACCGCAUAUUCUGUGAGCAGGAAAGCAGGGGAUCGCAAGACCUUGCGCUGAUUGGGCGGCCGAUGUCAGAUUAGCUAGUUGGUGAGGUAAAGGCUCACCAAGGCGACGAUCUGUAGCGGGUCUGAGAGGAUGAUCCGCCACACUGGAACUGAGACGCGGUCCAGACUCCUACGGGAGGCAGCAGUGGGGAAUUUUGGACAAUGGGGGCAACCCUGAUCCAGCCAUGCCGCGUGAGUGAAGAAGGCCUUCGGGUUGUAAAGCUCUUUCGGCCGGGAAGAAAUCGCACGGGCUAAUACCCUGUGUGGAUGACGGUACCGGAAUAAGAAGCACCGGCUAACUACGUGCCAGCAGCCCGGUAAGAC